AUUCUUCCAGUCAUGCUAUAUGGCUAUGAAUUCUGCAAUAUCACAGUCAUUCAAGAUCAAAAUUGCAUGUCAUCCAAGUUAUAGUGGACAGAUGCAUGGAGGGCAUAUGGCUUAUAAAAAUGUUUACUAAGUCUCUGGAUAGUGGCUGCUGGACGAGACUAGGCAAGUUGCUUGACUUCUGGGCUCUUGUCAAGGUUGGGAAUACUAAUGACAGUACUGAAGCAAUUUUAUUGUUGAUGACUAUUACUACAGAAGAAUAUUAUCAGUGUUGGAUGGGAGAUUGGAAUUUUAAUGGAUGUUUUAUAAAUGUGGACAUUACAUGUUUGAAAAUUAGGAAACAAACUAGAUGAAACACUUUUAUGAUGUUGUUCCCCAGCUCAAGAAUAUACAAUGGCUCCCUAUCACAGGAAUCAACUCAAACGCCUUAUCUUAGCAUCCAAUGUUCUUUACAGUUUGUCCCCACCUAACCUAUCCACUUCAAUUCUUUGCCUUUUGGGAUAAUUGGGCUAGUUUCUUCUAGCUUACAUUCUCUAAACAUUUCGUACACAUUCCCAACUCCAAGCAUUUGCUCAUGCUAUAACCAUUCCUAAAAUGCUCUUCCCACUCCUUUCUACCUUCAACAACUAACUUUUAUGCUUGUAUCCUCAGGGCCUAGAAUAAGGCCUAGCACAUAUACUUUUAAUCAAUGCUCAUUGAAUGAAAUAAAAUUCAGGAGUGUUUUAAUCGACUUAUAUUU
rnacentral:lncRNA from 1 species